UGACGGGGCCCGCACAGCGGUGGAGUAUGUGGCUCAAUUCGAUGCAACGCGAAGAACCUUACCUGGCCUUGACAUGCAGGAGACAGGUGCUGAAAGGCACCCUUCCUUUCCGGGACUGCUGCACAGGUGCUGCAUGGCUGUCGUCAGCUCGUGUCGUGAGAUGUUGCGUUAAGUCGCGCAACGAGCGCAACCCCUCGUCCUUAGUUGCCAUCAUUAAGUUGGGCACUCUGGACAGACUGCCUCGCUUAAACGAGGAGGAAGGUGGGGAGUGACGUCAAGUCAGUAUGGCCCUUACGGCCAGGGCUGCACACGUACUACAAUGCCCGGCACAAAGGGAAGCAAUACCGUAAGGUGGAGCAAAUCCCCAAAAACCGGGCCCAGUUCAGAUUGCCGUCUGCAACUCGACGGCAUGAAGCUGGAAUCGCUAGUAAUGGCGCAUCAGCUACGGCGCCGUGAAUACGUUCCCAGGCCUU
rnacentral:rRNA from 1 species